UACAGCCAUAUCAUGUUGAAACACAGGUUCCCAUAUGAUCACCGAGGUUAAGCAAUGUUUAGCCUGGUCAGUACCUAGAUGGGAAACUGCUUGGGAAAACCAGGUGCUGUAAG